CCUACGGGCGGCUGCAGUGAGGAAUAUUGGUCAAUGGACGAGAGUCUGAACCAGCCAAGUAGCGUGAAGGAUGACUGCCCUAUGGGUUGUAAACUUCUUUUAUAUGGGAAUAAAAUGUUCCACGUGUGGGAUUUUGUAUGUACCAUAUGAAUAAGGAUCGGCUAACUCCGUUCCAGCAGCCGCGGUAAUACGGAGGAUCCGAGCGUUAUCCGGAUUGAUUGGGUUUAAAGUGAACGUAGGUGGAUUGUUAAGUCAGUUGUGAAAGUUUGCGGCUCAACCGUAAAAUUGCAGUUGAAACUGGCAGUCUUGAGUACAGUAGAGGGGGGCGGAAUUCGUGGUGUAGCGGUGAAAUGCUUAGAUAUCACGAAGAACUCCGAUUGCGAAGGCAGCUCACUGGACUGAAACUGACACUGAGGCUCGAAAGUGUGGGUAUCAAACAGGAUUAGAUACCCGUGUAGUC
rnacentral:rRNA from 1 species